rnacentral:piRNA from 2 species
UGAGUGCUAAUAGAUUAGGAUAAAAUACUC